AUGGAACAUUGGCUGUGGAUUAUUCUUGCUGCUCUUUUCUUUGAGUGUAAAGGAGAAGACAAAGUGAUCCAGACACCAGGAGAUGUCAUUGCUACUGAAGAAGACACUCUCACACUCAACUGUACUUUUGAGACAACUGGGGCAAAUCCCUAUUUGUUCUGGUACAAACAAGAAGAUGAUAGUUUUCCAAAGUACAUUUUGGGCCGUGAUAAAGUUGGAGGACGUGACAAAUCUCCAGAUUUCCCUGAAGACAGAUUUGAUGCUGAGCUCAAAGACAAAUCAGUUCCUCUGAAGAUCUAGAAGAUUCAUG